UCGAGAGUGGAUCGUUUCUCCAGCUGUGCGGUGUUCGUUUGGCGGGGUGAAUUUUCCGGACGAAGUGGGUGUUCUUACACGUGCUGCCGCAGUUUCAACGGCCAGCGGAGUGUGAUGUGUUGAUACUUUCCCUAUGGUAACGUAGGAUCUACCGGAUGUUAAUGAUAGCGAAGACGACGACGAUGACGAAAAUAAUGACGGCGAAAGUGUUUGCUUAGCUCAGUGCGAAUUGUUGCCGUUGAAUUCGGGCAAGUGACUCGGGAAUCGGAGAGUACUUCUUGUGAUCAGGAAGGGAGCAGUGUUUUUCGAGGUGUAGAAAAAAAACUUAGUGUAGUUACGAAGACCGUUUAGGAAACAAAACUAAAGCCAGUCGCAGCUCAACGCUAUUGUGCCGCCAGGAUUAAAUCGACGCCGCUUGGAGAAGCACACAGGUUCUCGUCGACGCGUCGUCAGUCACCGUCGUCCCGCUGGUGCGUUGUUGGACGUGAAGCAGCUCGCCACAUCACAGCGCGCGCCAAAUGAUUUAUUGACUUGGAGAGCAAAAGUGUCGAAUGUCGAGCAGCAUCAGCCGGCCGCCGCCGCCAACAGCAGUUGUCGCCGCAUAGCAGGACUUCGACUGUUCCGCACAAGGACCCUCUCAGCCGAAGCGUAUGGGUAGAAGGACCAAUCGCAAUCCAAAGUGGUUUGUAAUCAAUCAAAACUCUUUGGGAAGUUCAAUUGUUUGACGUGGACAAACAAUCAAUGUGUCUGCAUUGUAGUGGAUAAUUUUGCGAUCUUUGCCAGCGAGCGACCAAACGGAAGCAGGUAGCCCAGCAAAAGUGUACUGGAAAAAGGUGCCGUCUACCUUUCUGAUUGCAGUCGAACGCUCGUCACAAAACUGUUCCAUUUCUUGGAGAAAAAUUCCCUUCAAACCAAGGUUCCCGCUGAAUCUGGCAAGUGGAAAGUGGAAAGCGGCAAAACACAAGAGUAGCAGUUUUCUUUUCGUGUAAAUGUAAACAAGAUUACUCUGCACACGAGAAUCUGUUAGCCGGAAAGCGCAAGCGAGUGAGUGGAAAAGCGAAGUCACAGUGGCAUAAAAAUUACAAAUUGAAUCGUUCCCGUGCAGAAGCAUGUGAAUUUGAUUUGUGUAUACAGCACAUAACUUUUUUUUCUCCAGUUCGCCGCGACGACCGCGCGUGGUGCGUGGGAGAAGUGUGGAAAGCCGUCAAGAGUGCCGCGACUUGGUCGGACGGUGUGUGCGGUGCAAAGAACGAGCAGGAGUGUUCUCCUUCAUUAUUGCGCUACAGCUCGUCGAGUAAUAAGAAUACAUACACAGGAAAAGCGUGAGCCAAAGAAAGUGAGCUGUGACGAGAGGCAGUGUAGUAGUUGGAGGGAACCAAUAGUGUGAAGUCAGUGAAGCGUGCUCGAGUGCUGGGGAGCCGUUGAAUGAUGUUCCACAGUCUAUGAAUGUUGGGGGAGCCAGAAGCGGGCGACGAGUAUAGAAGCAUAGCGUGAAAAGGUUUAAAUAGAGAUAUCAUUAGUGACUUGCAGACUCACCGAGGGAUAUUGAUUGCUGGGCUCGGGAAGCAUUUCGACUGCUGAAAUCGAUAUUUAUGAGCAGUUCAAG